AAUCUUGAAGAAGUUGCUACUUAACUUAGGCAAUCAUCUCGGAUAGUUUUAACUAAUAUAGAUCAAAUGUUGUCUUAAUAAGUUUACCCUCAUAGUGCCUUCUACUCAAAGACAUGUACAUGCUCUUGCUAAAAGUUUCAGUUUUUCACUAGCACCUAAUCCUUUUUUGUUACUUUCCAGCGGGUGGCCACCCUUUUGCACGGUUAAGUUGGUAAUAUUUUAUCUGCCUAGGGUAUAUACUAAGUAACCUAUACUCCUUUACUGCAUGUGCCCCAAAGAUUCCC
rnacentral:lncRNA from 1 species